CAGACUUACAGUGCAUUCUGGCUAACAUUUUUUUUUACCUAACGUGUUCCCUGGGAAUCGAACCCACAACAUUUUGUGCUACUAACACAAUGCUCUACCACUGAGCCACAGGAACACCUACACUGUAAAACCCCUGAGCUCUCAACUUCCUUGACAAAAAAAAAAGAAAGAAAGUGUCUGAAAAGCUAUGCAUGUGACCAUCACUUCCACAAGACGUUGUUCAACAGAAACUAGUCAUAGUCACACAGAGCUGUGAAGAUGGCAUGUUUGUGAGAUACAGUUUUCUAUUGAUCAGUAUCUGUUUAAGAAGCACUUCGUGGGCAGACUCAAUGCUGCAAGUUACAUCUUUAAUUGGAGCUGUUGGGAAUAAUAUCAUCAUCCAGUGUGCUGCUGAUAAAACCCCUCAAGAUGGGGUGUACCUGUACAAACAAGAAGGAGCAAGUAAAAAUAAGCAGGAAGUCUUCUACUAUUACACAGAUGGGACUUUUAGCCCUAAAUCAAAAUGGUGUAGAGACAAAGUCAAAGUAAAUGGAACAUUUCCCAACUUUAAUGUCAUCGUCUUGAAUGUAAAAGCCACAGACAUUGGGUUGUACUGGUGUGAAUUUAAUUUGGAAGACAAAAAGUCAGUUGGCACAGUCACAUGGUUAUGGAUAGAAGAAUCAGUAGAUAUAAAAACAAAUAAAACAGGAGAAAUAGAAAGAAAAGGAGAAGCAGGAGGAAAAGAUGAUGAGAAAGUGUGCUCAGGAGAUAUUCAUCAUCAUGUGAAGAUCUUUCUCAUUGUGUGUGCUGUCAUGCUGCUGCUGCUGUGCAUCACUGGUUUCAUCUUUGUGAUUCUGAAGGUCUCUCAAUGUUUGACAAUGUGUAACAAUGAACGGCGCCAGACAGCGAACACAAGGGGAUUCGAAUAGGGAGACUAAUGAUAACAUAACAGGUGACACAGGUGAAGGGGUGUUGUAGGAUCAAGAAAUACAGACCAUCAAAUCCACCCUCAGACUCAGUUUAUGAAGAGAUGAGACGGAGUACUUUAGACGGCCAGCCCAGUGUACGGACGCUCAUCAACCCUGACUAUCAAUCCAUUAUGUUACUCCACUAAAUAUCUGUGAUAUAAAGUUAAAAUUUAUCUCUCUAUUUGGAUUGGCAAAGCUUUCAAAUGAUUUAUUGCUUCAUAUUUGAGUUUCUCACUUUCCUUUUUUUCUUAUCCUUCUUUCAGUUCAGAGAGAGAGAAACAUAAUCUACCUGAUCUACUGAUGAAAACAUAACUGUGGGAACUUUUUCAAAAGACAUGAAAUACAGACCAAUAAGUACAUAUCAGUGCAGAAAUGAACACUAGAGGCAGUAACACAGCGAGCACUUGUAAUCGUCUUCAUACACAGUUAUGAUUACAGCUCCACGUCUUUCACUAUGGUUAUAUUUAAGAUGCUGUAGAUCAGGACCAACUUAUUAGUUUAAGUGUAAAGAAUUAAAAAAAGAUGCAGCAGUUUAAGAGAUACUGUCAGCUGAUGGACAACAGAAAUGUCAAAGAGCUCAUUUGUGGUCUUGUGUGCACAUGCCUGCGAGCUACUUUCAGUCUGACAAAUAGUCCAACCGUGAACUGACUGAUAGAAUUAAAGUACAGAAUCAUAUUUCACUCCUCUGUUCAUAAUAAAGGCAAUCAAAGCUAUUUUAUAUCAUUGCAAAUUUUAAACUAAACACUGCAAAAAUAGUAGGCUACUUGUUUACAGAGUUUGUAUUUGAUUCUCUGAUGUUCAUUUCUAAACUUGGUCACCACUCUUAACCAAACAUCUUCCUUUGCAGUUGUGGUCAUGUCUUCCUUUCUGUAACCUUAGAAUGCAUCAAAACAAGCCUGACUUGUUUGUAGUGCUGACUAACUAUGAUGAAGUUUAAAAAGUAUGCUGUGCGUGCAGAUGAGGCUUUUAUGUAUUAAAAGAGCAUAUAUUACAUAACAUGCAUUACUUAUCAUCCAGCUUGGUUUCAUUUUUAAUGUAUUUUAAUGUUUUUAAUGUAAUGUUUAUAUGUAUUUGAUUUAGUAUAUUUUGCCUUUGACAAGAGUGUCUCUUGUCUUUGUAUUGUGCAAAAUAACAUGAAAAA